AUCAGGCGUCUAGUGCUGUUUCAAAGUGCCGCCUGUUGUGAACAGUUCGCUUGGCAAUAUAAGCUGCAAAUGUCUGAUGUCGUCCUAAUGCGCCAAGCUUUCUGUACCUCUUGAAGGAGACCCGACCUUUGCUACGGAGAAUGUCACCGUUGUGCGAGGUAGGUGUCUGUUUAACGGCAGAGAGAUCGUCGAUAGACACACGAUGAAAAUGAGCAUUCCCUGUGUUGAAGCAACAUGCUGGGCUCCUUCAAAGUUGGUGCUACUUAA